CUUAUCUAGUCUAUGGCCAUACCAUUCUGAACACGCCCAAUCUCUUCCGAUCUCAGAAGCUAAGCAGGGUCCAGCCUGGUUAGUACUUGGAUGGGACACUUAACAGUUAUCUAUGUAUUAGUUAAGA
rnacentral:rRNA from 1 species